rnacentral:misc_RNA from 1 species
CAGGCAGCUGCUCCCAACCCCAGAACCUUUGCUGUCUUGGGACGGAUCACCGCUGCAAGAGGGGAAGUUGCUACUGUGAUGAAUUCUGCCAUGUGGCACCAGACUGCCACCCAGACCACAGUGUCCUCUGCAACCCUGCUUCUCAGAUGACCAAGAUGGUGCUGCAGAUGGUGCUGAGGAUGGAGAACCCACCAAGCCCCGCUAGGAGCCACCUAGACUGGAUGCAGAGCAUGGUUCAGCGAGUUCUCCAAACCAGCCUCCCAGGAAUGCCAUUCACCAUGGCUGUGAGGAGAAUAAAGAAGAGAGCCUGACUCCUCUCCUGAGGCCCCUUCCCCACCCUGAGCCAGCAGGAUCCACGGAGCAGAGGUCAUCUGUCCCCAGCUUGGCCCACUGAGGCCAGCAUGGCUGGGCCCAGGAUGCUUGUCUCUCAGCUCCCAUCCUGUGUACUUCCACAUUGGUUUAACCAGAGGAAAACCGAAAUCUACAAUUGUCAUAAACACAUUUAAAUGUGCGUAGAAUCAGCCAUACAAAUUGUGAAACAUA